rnacentral:rRNA from 1 species
GACGAACCGUGCAAACGUUGUUCGGAAUCACUGGGCUUAAAGGGCGCGUAGGCGGGUGGCAAAGUCAGGGGUGAAAUCUUUCGGCUUAACCGGAAAAUAGCCUUUGAUACUGGCCGUCUUGAGCGAGGUAGGGGCAUGUGGAACUUCCGGUGGAGCGGUGAAAUGCGUUGAUAUCGGAAGGAACGCCGGUGGCGAAAGCGACGUGCUGGACCUCUUCUGACGCUGAGGCGCGAAAGCUAGGGGAGCGAACGG